rnacentral:rRNA from 1 species
CCGGGGCAUCCCGGAGGCAGGAAAGGCUUCGGCCGGACAGGGAUGGGCAUGCGGCGCAUUAGGCAGUAGGCGGGGUAACGGCCCACCUAACCGACGAUGCGUAGGGGUUCUGAGAGGAAGGUCCCCCACACUGGUACUGAGACACGGACCAGACUCCUACGGGAGGCAGCAGUGAGGAAUAUUGGUCAAUGGUCGGGAGACUGAACCAGCCAAGCCGCGUGAGGGAGGAAGGUACAGAGUAUCGUAAACCUCUUUUGUCAGGGAACAAAGACUGGGACGCGUCCCCGGAUGAGUGUACCUGAAGAAAAAGCAUCGGCUAACUCCGUGCCAGCAGCCGCGGUAAUACGGAGGAUGCGAGCGUUAUCCGGAUUUAUUGGGUUUAAAGGGUGCGCAGGCGGUCUGUUAAGUCAGCGGUCAAAGCCCGGGGCUCAACCCCGGCCCGCCGUUGAAACUGGCAGUCUCGAGUUGGAGAGAAGUAUGCGGAAUGCGCGGUGUAGCGGUGAAAUGCAUAGAUAUCGCGCAGAACUCCGAUUGCGAAGGCAGCAUGCCGGCUCCACACUGACGCUGAGGCACGAAAGCGUGGGUAUCGAACAGGAUUAGAUACCCUGGUAGUCCACGCAGUAAACGAUGAAU